AACGAGCGCAACCCUUAUCCUUUGUUGCCAGCGGUUCGGCCGGGAACUCAAAGGAGACUGCCAGUGAUAAACUGGAGGAAGGUGGGGAUGACGUCAAGUCAUCAUGGCCCUUACGAGUAGGGCUACACACGUGCUACAAUGGCGCAUACAAAGAGAAGCGACCUCGCGAGAGCAAGCGGACCUCAUAUUGUGAGUCGUAGUCCGGAUUGGAGUGGGCAACUCGACUCCAUGAAGUCGGAAUCGCUAGUAAUCGUAU
rnacentral:rRNA from 1 species